rnacentral:rRNA from 1 species
GGCAUAGACGCCCACAGUGGUUUUGACGGGUAACGGGGAAUCAGGGUUCGAUUCCGGAGAGGGAGCCUUAAAAACGGCUACCACAUCCAAGGAAGGCAGCAGGCACGCAAAUUACCCAAUGACCGAAGGUCGAGGUAGUGACGAAAAAUAACGAUACAGGACUCAUCCGAGGCCCUGUAAUCGGAAUGAAUUAACUUUAAAACCGUACAUGAGGAUCUAUUGGAGGGCAAGUCUGGUGCCAGCAGCCGCGGUAAUUCCAGCUCCAAUAGCGUAUAUUAAAGUUGUUGCGGUUAAAAAGCUCGUAGUUGGAUCUCGGCGGGUAGAAGGCGGUACACUGCUAAGUGUUACUGCCUUAUUACCCGUAGUUUUUGCUAGAGGUUUCAGGGUGCUCUUAAUCGAGUGUCCUGGGAUGCUAGCAGGUUUACUUUGAAAAAAUUAGAGUGCUCAAAGCAGGCUACUACGCUUGAAUAUUCGUGCAUGGAAUAAUAGAAUAGGAAGUCGUUUCUAUUUUGUUGGUUUUCGGAAAUCGACUUAAUGAUUAAUAGGGACAGCCGGGGGCAUUAGUAUUCAGACGCUAGAGGUGAAAUUCGUGGACCGUUUGAAGACUAACUACUGCGAAAGCAUUUGCCAAGAAUGUUUUCAUUAAUCAAGAACGAAAGUUAGAGGUUCGAAGGCGAUUAGAUACCGCCCUAGUUCUAACCAUAAACGAUGCCAGCUAGCGAUCUGCCGACGUUUUCUUUGUAGACUCGGCAGGAAGCUUCCGGGAAACCAAAGCAUUUGGGUUCCAGGGGAAGUAUGGUUGCAAAGCUGAAACUUAAAGGAAUUGACGGAAGGGCACCACCAGGAGUGGAGCCUGUGGCUUAAUUUGACUCAACACGGGAAAUCUCACCCGGCCCGGACACUGGAAGGAUUGACAGCUUGAUAGCUCUUUCUUGAUUCGGUGGGUGGUGGUGCAUGGCCGUUCUUAGUUGGUGGAGUGAUUUGUCUGGUUAAUUCCGAUAACGAACGAGACUCUGUCCUGCUAAAUAGUGUCCGCCUCUCUUUUGGGCAGACAAUUCUUCUUAGAGGGACUGGCGGAUUCAAACCGCACGAGAUUGAGCAAUAACAGGUCUGUGAUGCCCUUAGAUGUCCUGGGCCGCACGCGCGCUACACUGAAGGGAUCAGCGUUUUUUCCUUUUCCGAGGGGACCGGGUACCCCGCUGAACCCCCUUCGUGGUAGGAACCGGGGCUGCCAAUUUUUCCCCGUGAACCCGGCAUGCCCAGAAAGCGCAAGCACCACAUGUGGCUUU